rnacentral:rRNA from 1 species
UACGGAGGGUGCAAGCGUUAUCCGGAAUUACUGGGUUUAAAGGGUGCGUAGGCGGCCUGAUAAGUCAGGGGUGAAAGUUUAUGGCUUAACUGUAGAAUUGCCUUUGAUACUGUUGGGCUUGAAACGAGCUGAGGUCAGCGGAAUGUGACAUGUAGCGGUGAAAUGCAUAGAUAUGUCAUAGAACACCAAUUGCGUAGGCAGCUGGCUAGGCUUAGUUUGACGCUGAGGAACGAAAGCGUGGGUAGCGAACAGG